UACGUAGGGUGCAAGCGUUGUCCGGAAUUAUUGGGCGUAAAGAGCUCGUAGGCGGUCUGUCGCGUCUGCUGUGAAAACCUGGGGCUUAACCCCGGGCCUGCAGUGGGUACGGGCAGACUAGAGUGCGGUAGGGGAGACUGGAAUUCCUGGUGUAGCGGUGAAAUGCGCAGAUAUCAGGAGGAACACCGGUGGCGAAGGCGGCGAUCUGGACGAUGACUGACGCUGAGACGCGAAAGCGUGGGGAGCAAACAGG
rnacentral:rRNA from 1 species